rnacentral:lncRNA from 1 species
CUUUUAUACCCACCCAGUUGCGAUGUGCAUUUGUGAUGUCACAGGUAGUCCGUAGCCAAUGGCAACCACUGGGGAUGCACCACCAGAAUCUCCUCAGGCCUCACAAUGGUAGGUGCACCUCAGCAGUGAUUUAUUUGCAUGCUUGUUUAUUAUUAGAAUCAUAGAACUGUAGGGACCCUAGGAGUCAUCUACAGGAAUCAUAGCUGAAGAAUCUCUGACAGAGGGCCACCCAACCUCUGUUUAGAAACCUCCAUUGAGGAGAGUCAGCCACCUUCCAAGGCAGCUCAUUCCACAGUCGAACAGCUCUCACUGUCAGAAAAUUCCUCCUAGUUUUUAGUCAGAAUCUCCUUUCUUGUAAUUGUCAUCCAUUGGCCCAGGUCCACAACAACUCUCUUCCUCUCCCGUGUGACAACAUUAGCUGGAAAGGAAAGGGGGGAACCUGGUCUCUUCCUGUUCCCAACAUCCGUGGAGGCAGUGUUGCAACCCAUCCUGUAUAAUACAGGAUCGUCCUAUAUUUCAGUGUAAAAUGCUACAUCCUGUAUUGAUUCAUUGCAGGACACAGUUUGCCCCCUAUUUCUGUAUUCUGCUGCGCACUCUUUCUCUCGGCCAAGUAGGGGAUCCUUUCCUCAUCCUGCCCCUGAGGAGGACCGAAUCAGGGCAAGGCUUUCAUGAUGUUGCUUCCAGUUCCCUGCAGUUUUGGCUGAAUUAAGGCAGCCAUCUGCAGAGCGGCAGCCUGUGAGCUCUGGGCCCCAUCCUUCAGAGAGCAACAGGCUCUGAGGCUCUAGAAGCAAGCCGCUUUGUGUCAGCGUAGCCCAGAAGCCCCAUUUCUGAACAAAGUUACGAUAUUUGAUGUGAUAUGAUAAAGCAUGACAUUUGAGAGAGGAGGGUGGGGGGUGAAAUAGUUCUCCACAAGGAUUGCUCUCCACCUAAUAUUUUCUCUCUCUUUCAGAAAUUUAACAAAGCUCAUUCCCUCAUCAGAAUAUGCCCUUCCCCAUUUAUUAUUUGCUGUACAAGUGCAUAUACAGUGGUACCUCGGGUUAAGUACUUAAUUUGUUCUGGAGCUCUGUACUUAACCUGAAACUGUUCUUAACCUGAAGCACCACUUUAGCUAAUGGGGCCUCCUGCUGCUGCCUCGCCGCCGGAGCACGAUUUCUGUUCUCAUCCUGAAGCAAAGUUCUUAACCUGAAGCACUAUUUCUGGGUGAGCGGAGUCUGUAACCUGAAGUGUCAGUAACCCGAGGUACCACUGUAUGUGAAAGGGUACAUGAAAUGUCACGUAUUUAAGCUCUGUGUAGCAAAGCACAGACAGAUUUACAAAUUCAUGUGUGUGUGUGUGGCAAAUUCCAGAGGGGCCACCCUGUUAGGCUGCAAUAGAUUGUAAUGCAUUGCUUUGUCUGCACCAGGUGAAAAAAAUCCACCAGUGCACCCCCCCUCCAUAUUUUGCCAAACUAUGGUAGCAACUCUAAGUGGAAGCUGCUCCACCUCUGGCUUCUUGGCUUCUUACUUAGAACUCCAAGGGGCGGCAGCACCGACUGACAGCUUCCUCCUCUUUAGUUUCAGUUUUGCAGAACACAGCAGGGAGGAGGAUGGUCGGGAUAGAAGCAGAAGGAGGUGGUUCUGCCUGUCAUUGGCUCAGGUGGCACCUACCCUUGGUUCCCCUGCCUUCUGCCCUCUGGAAUACCUCCUCUAAAAGUGUAGGCCAUAGUUGAAGGACCUGCAAGAGAAGGAAACCACAGGAGCAAAAUGCAUAUGUUUUUAUGCUGGAAAGCUCUCCAGCCAGGUAAAUUGCAAACGUGGAAAGGCAACCCAAACAUAAGCCGCCUGUGGUAUAGUUCGAGUUUCUGUUAUGAGAAGGGCUGAACGGCAAGGGGCAGCAUAAGACCUUCACACUCACUCCUAAUUUAUGAAAUGCGUAAUUGUCACCAGAGGGCAGCAAAGGAGCAUUAAUGCUUGCUGAUGUGCAGCCAGUAGAUGUGUUACAAGAGAAAAGGAGCUGAAGAGGGCAUGGAGGGCAUUCAGAACUGAUUUCUUCUGCAAGGUGAUGUUACCUGUUGCAGAGCUGGAAGCAGGAGUGGAGUAGUCUGCCUCAGAAGGUGGUAGACUCUCCCCUGUUGCAGUUGUGUAAGCAGAGGCUAGAUGACUACAUGUCGGAGAUGCUGUAGCAGUGAACUUCCUACAUGGACAGGGUUGAACUAGAUGGCGUUUGAGGUUCCUUCCAACUCUAUGAUCCUAAAAUACCUAUUUGCAGCAGGGUUGACUCACCUGUGGCCUGCGAAAUGUGAUUGGACUUCAAAACCCAUCAGCCCUGGCCCCUAGUCAGGGAUGAUGGGAGUUGAAGUUCCAGCAACAUUGGGUGAGAGAGACACACACACAGGUGAGCCACUCCUGCCCUACGAGGUCAAAGUUCUUUCAGCGUCUUUCAAUGCACCCUAUUUUUUUUUUUUUAAUGUUCAUAUUAAACAUUAGGUAGAAAAGGCUUGAAUUAUCCAAAAGCAUAGCUGCCUGAGUUCUCUCCAUGAAGCUUAAAAGAAGUUACAGAGCUUCCUUUUACUGAGGACCCCCCCCCCAAGUGGUGGCUGGUGUGCAUUGCAAAAAGGCAUAGCAAAAGGUAGGAGGACCAACACUAGGUGGAACCAGAGCCAAUAACAGGCAGAGUCAAGCAAUUCUGUCUCCCAGCCAGCUCCCUGUUGAGUUCUAUGAGGGCAAAACUGACACCAAGGAAGAGGACGCAGACAAGCAGUGCCACCCCCUGAACUGGCUGCUUGUAAAAAAAAGAAGACAGGCAGGUUAGAGCUGGCUGAGAGCAAACUGAGGCUGAGUGGGCAAUGCUCCAUUUGCCCUAAUAAACCAGCCUACACUGGGCUCUCCAGACUGGGUUUUAUGUUUGGCUUUCUGUAGGCGUUUCCUGCAAAAAGUCAUUAGUGGUGGAUUGAUACUGGACUGUCCGCACAUCGUUCUGUUUUAUUAGUUGUUCUGCGAUGCCUCACUAGUGUUCCCGUCCAGAGAGGCACUAUUCUGCUGCAGCACAACGAAAGCAGGAUGAAAAAUAUACUGGGACGUUCAUGGUGCAGAAAGUUACAGGGGAAUGUUUCGGCUCCGGAACACUUGAAGGCACAAACAGUUAUCAAAAGUGAGACUCCAUAUAACUGCCCCGAUACCCUCAUGAGGAAAUCAUCAGGAAUGCACAAUAAAAAAGUUGUUUGGGAGGGACCCUGAGUCAGACCAGGGGCCAUUUAGCUAACUCGCUGCUAUCUAUCCUGACUGGCAGCAGAUCUCCCCAGGUAAUGUUCUUUUCCUAGCCCUUCCACCCAAAAGGCUUUUGCUGGCAACGUCAGAGAUUGAACUUGGCCUUUCAAACAUAUGCUCUGCCACUGAGUCAUCACCUCCUCUGGGAUUAUUCCUAACCUUUUCUGGGUUCACCCUGUCAGCUUAUCAACUGAUACGCCACACGUGAGCUUACCUGCGAGGGGAUUGCUUGGGUGCACGUACCCAUGCUCUGGUAACCAUCCAUUUAGACCAGGAGGGGGGAUUUCUCUCUCCCCCCCCCCGAUGUUGCUGAACUCCCAUGAGCCCUAGCAAGCAUGCCAAUAGCCAUGGAGGAUGGGAGUUGUAGUUCAGCAACAUCAGGAGGGCCAAGAUUCUCCACACCUGAUUUAAAAGUACGUAUUGAAAAAUGUGUUGCCAUUAAAAAAGACCCAGAUGCUACCAUUGAUCCAGAACAGGGCUGCAAGGUUAUUAACCUGGGCAGUUUGAUCAUAUGGUGCCUGUGUUUUGUCAGUUGCACUGGCUCCAUGCCGAAUUCUGGUCCCAAUUUAAAGUGCUGGGUUAAGCCCUUAAAGAUCUCAAUGGCUUGGGACCAAGUGGCCUGAAAUACUGUUUACCUCUAUAUUCACUUACCUGGAACUUAAGUUCCUUUCCAGAAGACCUGCUUCAGUGCCUGCACCCAAUGGAGGCGGGUCACCGCUAGGGAGAGGGCCUUUUCAGUAGUGGCACCCCGGUUGGGAACAGCCUUCCCUGGGAGGCUGGCUUGGUGCCAUCUCUGUGGUCUUUGAGACCUUUCUGUUCAUCCAGGCCUUUUAAAUAACUUAUAGCCAGAGCCACUCAGUGUAUCUUGUGGAAGGUUGUCAGUACUGUCUAUGACACUGACUGGCAGUGUCUCUCUCUCUUUCGGGCAGAGAGUCUUUCCCAGCCCUACCUGGAGAUGCCAGAUGGGGACUGAAGCUGGGACCUUCUGCAUGCCAAGCAGAUGCUCUAGUACUAGGCUAGGUCCCUGCCCUGUGUGUGCUGACUUCGGAGUCAACAUGCAUCAGACUGAGCGGUAAAACAGCCCUCACUUAGCGCAAUGACCUCUUGCAGGGCUGAUCUUGGGGAACAAGAAGUUUUAAAAAUGUGGCAUACUGAAUCCGUUGUCUGUUGAGCAAAAGGUGAGCUUACAUCUAUAUAGAAAGGGAAAGGUGUAAUGUUGCUUUAUCUGUCCUUGCUUUAGGACAAUGGAAGCAGAGAGAGGGUGGAGAGGCUGGUGGGGUUCUGACAAGUGUUGAUCUCUGAGCUAACCAAGCCGAAGAGCCACCGCAAUGGUACCCUGCUGUGCAAACUGCUGCUUAUAGGAGACGUUGUCAAUUCAAUCUCCUGCCAAGUGUUACCUGAUUUAAAGGGAGAGUCGGUGGAAGCACCCGAGGAGCCUUUGGUGCAGAAAGAGAUUGAUUAUGGAAUAAAAUUAUAACAUUA